GUUUAUUGUACGUUUGUAGAUCAUAAAUCAUGCAUCUCACCAGGAUAGAAGACGUCUGACAAGUUCCUCCAACACUCAGGCUGGCAGUAUGCCAGGACACGCCCCUGCACGCACCGGGCGCUUCACGCCCACGCAACGACGCAGCUGCAGACCAUCGGCAAUCUGCGCACCUGGCAAUAAUCAGAGCGGCAACAUAAAGACCAGUCGACCCUUGGAGCCUAUGCCAGAACAUCGUUAACUCAUUGCAUACCCGUCUUGUUCCGUGUGCUCGAGCUCUGUGCCUCGACCUCCCUCCGGACUUUGGACUGCCUCCCUCGAUCCUCGACCCUCAUUUAGACACGGACCUUGUCGCUUCUCUCCUGCCCUCGAACACCUGCCUGCUUACGAACAUUCUUUUUGUCUCGCCCUUUUAGACUGCUGAAGGAUUCAUCCAACACGCACUUACAUCGUCUGGUAAUAUUCACAUGGUUAAAAUCACACAUAGUCCUGCAACAAACAAAGAGU